CGUGCAGCGCCACCGUCCCGCUCCCCGUCGCCCCACGCCGCCCUCGUCGCCGCGCCCAGACCCCUGCGGCGGCCGCAGCCGCUUGGGACUCGCUGCGAGCUGGUUUCGGAUCCAUCCCGCCUCCCGGCGUCUCACUGUGUGCCCUACCCUUUGAAACACGCCCCCGCGCCCGCCCUGCCGUAGACCAGGCAGCGAGGAAGCCCACAGUCUCCGGGGGCGCUGCGCGCGAAGUAGCACGUGCUUCUCGAAACACCGCAGCCCCCGGGUCCCGCCCCGCCCGGCGCGCGCACUCGAACCCGCCCAGAGAGCGGUGCGUGGCGCUGGGUGCGAGCAGGGUCUAGCCACCCCCACCCUCACCCCACCCCACCCCACCCUGCUUUUUUCAGGUUCAUCAAGGUUUGCGCAGUGGAUCCGCGAAUGAAGCCAGCCUGGAAGAUCCCCAGUCUCGAGACAGAGCCUGACAGGGGCAGAUGCACUGGAAGGACCCUGUCUGGGUUUAGCAACCAAGCAGCCAUCCUGGCCCCACAGGUGUGGGACUUCUGGGUCUUCUCCUGGCUGGCUUCUUGCUAGAGGAUUUCAAGAGACCCAGCAAGACUGUAUUGUCCCACUGAAUGCUCAAGAUAUUGGUUAGAAGUAGAAAAGGGGAGGGGGUAGUAUUUAGCCUCUGUCCCCACUAAAAAUUAUUCCCAAUUGUCAUUUGUGUCAUCUGUUUAGCUUACAGUUUUAAUCCUUGUCAAAAUGAUCAUUUGCCAGGGUGCAUAAAACACCCUAUUUGAUGAGAACUGGUUUUAAAGGAAAAUGGGGCCAUCAGAAGGAAGCCGGUUGGUGUGAAGAGACGUCUGGGAAGAGCCCCUGGCGAGGGCCCUCAUUCCACUGGGUGACCCAGAAGGAGAAAACCGCGAUGGCGCUUCUCAUUUGAAAUGUUUUCUUUAUGGACAGUGUUUAGCAAUUGUUAUAAUGUGUACUUUUGUUGAUUGAUCUGUAUACAUAUGUAAAAUAAUUUGUUCUCUGAGUUAAUUUUGUUGGAACAAAGACUUUAGUGCUUCCUACAUUAAAACAUUUUACUGUAUUGCC
rnacentral:lncRNA from 1 species